UACAGAGGGGGCAAGCGUUGUUCGGAAUUACUGGGCGUAAAGGGCGCGUAGGCGGCCGGUUAAGUCGAACGUGAAAUCCCCGGGCUCAACCCGGGAACUGCGUCCGAUACUGGCAGGCUUGAAUCCGGGAGAGGGAUGCGGAAUUCCAGGUGUAGCGGUGAAAUGCGUAGAUAUCUGGAGGAACACCGGUGGCGAAGGCGGCAUCCUGGACCGGCAUUGACGCUGAGGCGCGAAGGCCAGGGGAGCAAACGGG
rnacentral:rRNA from 1 species